GCGCUCGUAGCUCAGCUGGAUAGAGCACUAGACUACGAAUCUAGGGGUCGGGAGUUCGAAUCUUCCCGAGCGCGCCA
rnacentral:tRNA from 11 species